UUGCAUAAAAUAGGGUAUAAUGCCUAUAAUUAUACUCUACUUACUAAGCUCUAUUCUAGGAUGUGGGCCUUGCAAAUACCAGCAAAGAUCAAAAUUACAAUAUGAAGGUUUGAAAAUAACUUUCUACUUACUUUUGAUAAUUUACAAAGAAAAAAGCUACAUGUAAUUAAUAUUUGCCCGCUAUACAGUAUGGAGGAAGAAUUUGUUGAGAGUGUGCUGCGAUUCUAUUCUUCUUCAACACAGGUUCUGGAUUUGUUGAACAUAACAUUGGUCCCUGUUAUAAAGAGCUUAGACCAUGAGCCAUGGUUGGCAAAGAUGGCAAGAAUGUCUUAUGAAACUGUAUUGAAGAUUAUGGCAGUUGCAUACUGGGUAAUACAGUAUGCUAUGAAUAAAAUAAUGCACGAGGGAAUUAGACAAACUGCACUAGAACUAAUAGUAUUCAUUAAGGCCUACCUGUCUGAGUUGGAGGCCAACGACCAAAUCAAAAUGCAAGAUUUUUCAUAGAAACAGGGGGUUUAGGUGCCGCCUAACCCAAACAGUGUGAAAGUUAACUUUGAUAUGACCUUUAAUGCAGUUCCAAAGAAAUUGGUUUCAGGGGUUAUAAUCAAGAAUUCUAAGGGAUUGAUAAUGGCUGCAUGUACCUGUUAAUAGACUGGGAUUGUUGAUGCUUUCAUCACCGAAGCACAGGCAUGUGAACAAGCCAUUGAUUUUGCGAUAGAACUUAGGUUCAAGAAAACAUAAAUAGAAGGGGAUUCUCUGACAACACUAAAAAAGUCAAGAGAAAUUUGCAAGAUAAAUCCAUGUUAAGUCCAAUCAUUAAAGAUAUUAAAACAAAAUUAGUGGGUUUUGAAAUAUUUACCUUUCAUUUUGCUGGUAGAAAAGCUAAUGUAGUUGCGCAUGCUUUGGCUAAGGAAGGGCAUCGAUUGGAAGAGCCGUGAUAUUGGGUGGAAGAAGCCCCAUGGGUAGUAGAAAGAGUGGUUGAGAUGGAUCAUCAACACUGGUUUUCACGAAGGUGAAAGGUGUCAAACAACUUUAGGGGGUGGGAGUCUCUAAUAUUUCUUUUUUAACUCCUGGUGGUUCUCAAAGCUUUGCACUCUUUUUUAUUUUGCUGGAAUACGUGGGUGAUAUCGUCUGGAGGUGGUGCAGAAGAGAGACAUUUAUAGGUUUUCAUUGGAGCUGAAAGAAGAGAAAGAGGUGAUGUUUAGUUUUUGUGUGGUUUCUAUUUGCUUUAGUUUUUGUGUGUUGGUUUGUUUCUAUCUAUUAGUUUUUGUUGGUUUUCCA
rnacentral:lncRNA from 1 species